GCCUGGUUGGCUCAGUCGGUUGAGCAUCCGACUUCAGCUCAGGUCACGAUCUCGCGGUCCGUGAGUUCGAGCCCCGCGUCGGGCU
rnacentral:tRNA from 1 species